rnacentral:SRP_RNA from 1 species
GCCGGGCGUGGUGGCUCAUGCCUGUAAUCCCAGCACUUUGGGAGGCCGAGGCAGGCGGAUCACCUGAGGUCGGGAGUUCGAGACCAGCCUGACCAACAUGGAGAAACCCUGUCUCUA